AACGAACGCUGGCGGCGCGCCUAAUACAUGCAAGUCGAGCGAGAAGACGUAGCAAUACGUUUGUAAAGCGGCGAACGGGUGAGGAAUACAUGGGUAACCUACCCUCGAGUGGGGAAUAACUAGCCGAAAGGUUAGCUAAUACCGCGUACGCUCCUUGGACUUCGGUUCAGGAGAAAGCGAUACCGUGGGUAUCGCGCUCUUGGAUGGGCU
rnacentral:rRNA from 1 species